GGGUGAGUAACACGUGAGUACCUGCCUCUUAGUGGGGGAUAGCCCUGGGAAACCGGGAUUAAUACCGCCUACGGAAACAAAGCAGCAAUGCGCUAGGAGAUGGGCUCGCGGCCUAUUAGUUAGUUGGUGAGGUAACGGCUUACCAAGGCGAUGACGGGUAGCCGGUCUGAGAGGAUGUCCGGCCACACUGGAACUGAGACACGGUCCAGACACCUACGGGUGGCAGCAGUCGAGAAUCAUUCACAAUGGGGGCAACCCUGAUGGUGCGACGCCGCGUGGGGGAUAAGGUCUUCGGAUUGUAAACCCCUGUCAUGUGGGACAUUAAAAAGAUAGUACCACAAGAGGAAGAGACGGCUAACUCUGUGCCAGCAGCCGCGGUAAUACAGAGGUCUCAAGCGUUGUUCGGAAUCACUGGGCGUAAAGCGUGCGUAGGCUGUUUCGUAAGUCGUGUGUGAAAGGCAGGGGCUCAACCCCUGGACUGCCCAUGAUACUGCGAGACUAGAGUAAUGGAGGGGGAACCGGAAUUCUCGGUGUAGCAGUGAAAUGCGUAGAUAUCGAGAGGAACACUCGUGGCGAAGGCG
rnacentral:rRNA from 1 species